UACGUAGGGUCCGAGCGUUGUCCGGAAUUACUGGGCGUAAAGAGCUCGUAGGUGGUUUGUCGCGUUGGUCGUGAAAACUCACAGCUUAACUGUGGGCGUGCGGGCGAUACGGGCAGACUUGAGUACUGCAGGGGAGACUGGAAUUCCUGGUGUAGCGGUGGAAUGCGCAGAUAUCGGGUGGAACACCAGUGGCGAAGGCGGUGUUCUGGGCCGGAACUGACGCUGAGGAGCGAAAGCGUGGGUAGCAAACAGG
rnacentral:rRNA from 1 species